rnacentral:rRNA from 1 species
GGCCUAAUACAUGCAAGUCGAACGGUUGGUAGCAAUACCAAUAGUGGCGCACGGGUGCGUAACGCGUAACCAACCUACCCGAAUCUGGGGGAUAGCCCGCCGAAAGGCGGAUUAAUACCGCAUAAAACUGCAGCCUGGCAUCAGGUAACAGUUAAAGAUUUAUUGGAUUCGGAUGGGGUUGCGUGCCAUUAGCUAGUUGGCGGGGUAACGGCCCACCAAGGCGACGAUGGCUAGGGGAGCUGAGAGGCUGGUCCCCCACACGGGCACUGAGAUACGGGCCCGACUCCUACGGGAGGCAGCAGUAGGGAAUAUUGGGCAAUGGGCGAGAGCCUGACCCAGCCAUGCCGCGUGCAGGAUGAAGGCUUUCUGAGUCGUAAACUGCUUUUACCAGGGAAAAAAAAAGGGGAUGCGUCCUCUACUGACGGUACCUGGUGAAUAAGCACCGGCUAACUCCGUGCCAGCAGCCGCGGUAAUACGGAGGGUGCAAGCGUUGUCCGGAUUUAUUGGGUUUAAAGGGUGCGUAGGCGGCUGAUUAAGUCUGGGGUGAAAGCCCGUUGCUCAACAACGGAACUGCCCUGGAAACUGGUUAGCUUGAGUACAGACGAGGGUGGCGGAAUGGAUACUGUAGCGGUGAAAUGCAUAGAUAGUAUCCAGAACCCCGAUUGCGAAGGCAGCUGCCUAGACUGUAACUGACGCUGAGGCACGAAAGCGUGGGGAGCG